AUUGAACGCUGGCGGCAGGCCUAACACAUGCAAGUCGAGCGAGCGGCGGACGGGUGAGUAAUGUAUGGGGACUGCCCGAUAGAGGGGGAUAACUAAUGGAAACGGUGGCUAAUACCGCAUACUAACGGAUAACCCAUAUGGGAUUAGCUAGUAGGUGGGGUAAAGGCCAACCUAGGCGACGAUAUGUAGCUGGUGUGAGAGGAUGAACAGCCACACUGGGACUGAGACAAGGCCCAGACUCCUACGGAGGCAGCAGUGGGGAAUAUUGUACAAUGUGCGCAAGCCUGAUGCAGCCAUGCCGCGUGUAUGAUGAAGGCCUUAGGGUUGUAAAGUACUUUCAUCGGGUAGGCGUUACCCGCAGAAGAAGCACCGGCUAACUCCGUGCCAGCCGCCGCGGUAAUUC
rnacentral:rRNA from 1 species